GAGUUUGAUCCUGGCUCAGAUUGAACGCUGGCGGCAUGCCUUACACAUGCAAGUCGAACGGCAGCACGGGAGCAAUCCUGGUGGCGAGUGGCGAACGGGUGAGUAAUAUAUCGGAACGUGCCCAGUCGUGGGGGAUAACGCAGCGAAAGCUGUGCUAAUACCGCAUACGAUCUACGGAUGAAAGCGGGGGAUCGCAAGACCUCGCGCGAUUGGAGCGGCCGAUAUCAGAUUAGGUUGUUGGUGGGGUAAAAGCCCACCAAGCCGACGAUCUGUAGCUGGUCUGAGAGGACGACCAGCCACACUGGAACUGAGACACGGUCCAGACUCCUACGGGAGGCAGCAGUGGGGAAUUUUGGACAAUGGGCGCAAGCCUGAUCCAGCAAUGCCGCGUGCAGGAUGAAGGCCUUCGGGUUGUAAACUGCUUUUGUACGGAACGAAACGGUCUGCUCUAAUACAGUGGGCUAAUGACGGUACCGUAAGAAUAAGCACCGGCUAACUACGUGCCAGCAGCCGCGGUAAUACGUAGGGUGCGAGCGUUAAUCGGAAUUACUGGGCGUAAAGCGUGCGCAGGCGGUUAUAUAAGACAGAUGUGAAAUCCCCGGGCUCAACCUGGGACCUGCAUUUGUGACUGUAUAGCUAGAGUGCGGCAGAGGGGGAUGGAAUUCCGCGUGUAGCAGUGAAAUGCGUAGAUAUGCGGAGGAACACCGAUGGCGAAGGCAAUCCCCUGGGCCUGCACUGACGCUCAUGCACGAAAGCGUGGGGAGCAAACAGGAUUAGAUACCCUGGUAGUCCACGCCCUAAACGAUGUCAACUGGUUGUUGGGUCUUCACUGACUCAGUAACGAAGCUAACGCGUGAAGUUUGACCGCCUGGGGAGUACGGCC
rnacentral:rRNA from 1 species